GAAAGGAUUGUGUAGUGUAAAUGCAAUCCCUCCCAAAUCGGACGGAUUGGGAAGGAAAGGAAAGGGAGAGAGGAGCAAAAGUGUUGACUGCCCACAAUACCCCUUCCUUCACGUUCUUAAUUUUUUAAACAUUUUGACUGUUAGGGGUAUUUAGUAGCAGCCAUUCGAUUUAAUCAGCAAACAGUGCUGCAGAGACAAGCCGAAGCGUUGUUCUCGCUGGUGACCCUGGUAAAACAUCGGCAGCUCUCUUCGUCUCUCAUUGCAGUGGGCCACUGAGGAAGGAGCAGCCAUUCGAUUUAAUCAGCAAACAGCGCUGCAGAGACAAGCCAAAGCGUUGUUCUCGCUGGUGACCCUGGUAAAACAUCGGCAGCUCUCUUCGUCUCUCGUUGCAGUGGGCCACUGAGGAAGGAGUAUUUAGGGCUCCAGCACGAGGUCGUUCCUGGCGUCGUCGUCAUCAGGGAGAAUACUGAGGGAGAGUAUUUAGGGCUCGAGCACGAGGUCGUUCCUGGCGUCGUCGAGAGCCUCAAGGUCUGUCCAUUUUCUCCUUGUUAGAUUUUGUCAUUUUAAUAUGAGUCAAUCGCAAUUGUGGGGCUUAUAGUUUGUUUGAGCUGAUGUUGUUGCUUCUAACUGUGGUUAUUUGUGCUUUCGUUUAUCUUCCCUAUAUUUAACUGUAUUUUUCACGUUGAUUUUGUCAUUUUUCUAAUUAAUUUCAACAUUUAGAUGGUACUCGACUUUUCUUGGUUUUUUUGGUUCUUUCUUUGUGUAGUUGUGUAUUUAUAGUUGUGAAUAUUUGGUGCCAUUCAAUCGAGUAUUCCUUGGAGUUUACUUUCUAAAGAUUUUGUAGGUUCAAACAACGUCGUUUGUUUGAUAUAUAGCUAUGUGGUUAACAGGAAAUUGAUGCCUCAUGAAGGUCCAGUGCUUCUGUUUGGCAACAGUUAUUUGUCAAUUGAACGAGUUGUUUCUGUUUGCAUGAUUGUCUGUAAUGAGGUCAAUUCUAAAUGAAAUUGGGGAACAAAUUUUUGUUCUGAGAAUUGGGAUUGAUUCUAUUUGAACAUGCUAUUUAUGCUAGCCGAUGAUUACUUAUGAUCUUAUUAUGGGAACAUACAGUUUUGCUGACGUUUGUUUUGUGAUGAAACUGGCUUUUUUGAAUAAGCUAUCAGCCUAUCCCGCUUAACGUUUUGUUCCACGGUGAUCCUUAGCAGAUUUUUUGGUUUUUUGGGGCAUAAAUAACAAUUCAUGCUAUUUAGUUCCCUAUAUGCAGUUAUUACUAUUGACAAGGAGAACUAUGUCCCCACAAGCAUCGAGGUGAUAUUCUUUUGAUAUGCAGUUCUCUGGGAGCUGUUGCUUCUAACACUUCUAGCUAUUUUGGCUUCAUUUAGAAUAUAGUUCUCUAAGUGUGGUCUUUAACAGUGCUCCUGUUGUGUUUAAAAUGUAUUUUCAGGUUUCUGCUGAUGUCAGAGAGGUUCUGGAUACUUUCCGUGUUGCACUUGAGUUGCAGAUUUUAACAGCAAUAGGUUGAGCAAGCCUGGAUUAUUUGGAUGUUAUAAGAAACCUUUGGGAUUUGCAAUUUAGUUGUACUAGACAACAAACAACAACCUUCACGUUUGACAGUGGCAGCUCGUUAUUAUAUGGUUCCUUUUCUGAAAAGGAUGGCAGCUACAUAGUAUUUUUCAGGACUUAGAUUUGUAUUUAUAAGGGCUGGAGGAACUAUUCAGAAAAUGAGAAAGUUGCAGGCAUGAAAAAUACUAGAUUGGAUUGCUUUUGUUAUUGCAGGAAUCAUGGUAUGAUGCUUUUCAAGAUUUUGAUAAUAUUGUGUUAAAAACUUAAAAUAUUGUAAAAUUUGAUAAGUUACUUUCGUGAGGAUUCUUUAAAACUUAAUUUCUUGUGUAUUCUUA